CACGUAGGGUGCGAGCGUUGUCCGGAAUUAUUGGGCGUAAAGAGCUCGUAGGCGGUGUGUCGCGUCGGCCGUGAAAACCUGCAGCUUAACUGUGGGCGUGCGGUCGAUACGGGCAUCACUGGAGUUCGGCAGGGGAGACUGGAAUUCCUGGUGUAGCGGUGAAAUGCGCAGAUAUCAGGAGGAACACCGGUGGCGAAGGCGGGUCUCUGGGCAGUAACUGACGCUGAGGAGCGAAAGCAUGGGGAGCGAACAGG
rnacentral:rRNA from 1 species